CUACAACCAAUAAAUUUACAAGGGCAAACUGGAUGUAACUGUGAUCUACAACCAAUAAAUUUACAAGGGCAUACUGGAUGUAACUGUGAUCUACAACCAAUAAAUUUACAAGGGCAAACUGGAUGUAACUGUGAUCUACAACCAAUAAAUUUACAAGGGCAAACUGGAUGUAACUGUGAUCUACAACCAAUAAAUUCUGUGUGCUUGGUGGAUAUUACUCCACAGUACAGCAUUGUUGAUUGUGAAAAGUGGACCAUGGGACAGAGAUGACCCAAGAAACAAUUAUAACAGUGACAUAGAUUACUAGAAUAUUUUUAAAUUAUUUUAUUUAUUAUGGAUCCCAACAUAUUUAAUUUAUUAUGGAUCCCUACAUUGUAAAUUGAUGUUUGUGAUGUUAUUCUGAGUGUGCAUGCACAUCGGGCAAGCUGAAAAGUUUGCCUGACCACGGUGGGAAUCGAACCUGCGAUCUUUGGGAUAUUAGUCCACACUCAGAGUAACAUCACAAACAUCAUAUUCACCUGAGUACAUAACACCAACACACACAAGAAGUAUAUUGUAAAUUGAUUUGAUUUUAUUUUAUUAUGGAUCCCUACAUAUUUUAUUAUGGAUUCCUACGAUUAUAACAGUGACAUAGAUUACUAGGAUAUUGUAAAUUGUUGUUAUUAUAUUUUAUUAUGGACAAAAUUUUUCCAUAACUAGAUCAAAGCUUUAUUUUCCUCAAAGGUCCAGUUAUGUUUUUUCACUGGUGACUUCUGUGAAGGAGUCAGCCUUAUCUUUCUGCUAGGAAACUACAAAAAAGUAUGUCAUUUACUAAAAUGGAAAUUGAGUCACAGAUGACAUAUGAAUAAUCAUACAUGAAUAAUGUUUAUACACUGCAGAAUAAUGUUACACAGAGGUGUUACACUGAAUAUACAAACAGGGAUGGAUUUACUGGGGGGUGCCCCCCCCCCCUAGCCCUAGUGAACUGUGAACAACAAUUACAAUUCAAAUACAGUAGUUCAUGGGCGGGCGGCACACAUGACCAACACAACUUGGUAGUCGGC